rnacentral:rRNA from 1 species
UACGUAGGGUGCGAGCGUUGUCCGGAAUUAUUGGGCGUAAAGGGCUCGUAGGCGGUUUGUCGCGUCGGGAGUGAAAUCCACUGGCUUAACUGGUGGCUUGCUUUCGAUACGGGCAGACUGGAGGUAUGCAGGGGAGAACGGAAUUCCUGGUGUAGCGGUGAAAUGCGCAGAUAUCAGGAGGAACACCGGUGGCGAAGGCGGUUCUCUGGGCAUGUCCUGACGCUGAGAGACGAAAGCUAGGGGAGCGAAUGGG